ensembl:lncRNA
GUCAUUCGCGCGCGUCGGGUUUCACAAAACACAUACAUACACACAGUUGCACACGCAGGCACGUGACUCCGAAUGGCCGCUGUGGCUUCCUCUGCCUCGCGCGGAUCUCCGUUCCCACUUCCCGUCUCCACGUCCGAGUCGGUCCGACGCGCGCGCCGUUUCUGAUCCCGCAUUCCGGCUUAACAUUUGGAGGUCACUUGUGCACGGGGAGGGUCACACACACACACACACACACACACACACACACACACACACACACACACAGCACGAGAAAACAGCGGCACGACUCACUGGAGUAACAUCAUCACAUCACAGCGCAUCGCGUCAGACCCGAAGAGAAACUUCCAUCGGUCGCGAGACGCCGGUGGGCGGAGCCAACAGGUUACAGCUCACAGAGUGAGUGCUGGUUGACGUCGAUGUCGAUGCGUGUGGCGUUAUUCCGGUGAGAAGUCCGGGGUUGUGCGGCGGCUCUGGCGUCACACGGGGACAUCAGGGGUUAUAUAUCGUUUCAUCAUCACUGAUAUCGAACGUAAAGCGAUGACGGCCAGGCUCGAGACGGUAUUGAUGAGAAACCCAGCGUAGACGUUGAAGCGACUCGGCUCGGCACGACGAGCCGGACAGACCGAAAGACCAAAGCGCCGCCGCAUCGCUCAGUUUUCCUAUAGAGGACGCACGGGCUAAUAUUCCGGGUAAACCGAGGAAAAUGAUCUAGUGUUACACAUCUGUGAGGGACGAAACUACGUGAACGUCUAGGAUCGGACUCGGGUGUUUUCGGUCAGUGGGUCGACGAUGAGGUAUGAGUGAGUGAGCGGUGUGUUUUGUUUAUUUAUUUUUUCAAAACAGGAAUCUGUCAGAGUUUGGUCUUCACAAGACACGUUCGUGGAAGUGUAUCACGGCACAGAUGAAGGAGAUUUCUGAGGACCUCCAAAAUCUCUAAAGAGUCUGGACUCCACCAAUCUACAAGUCGGACAGAUUGUAUACAAAUGGAGGAAGUUUAAGACCGUCGUUAUCCUCCUCAUAUAGUCAUUAUAUUAACGGGAUACUUGGUUACCAAUUAUCCCAUUACGCAAUGAAUCAAAUACUCAAUGUUGGUGCAACUCGGUCCUGACGACGUACGAAAAGUUACAGGUUUACCUGCGACAAAGCAUUAACACUGGAGACUCCUUCCAUACAUUUUUAAAUGGACAUCUUCACCGUAACGACGAUUACACACGUUUAAAAAACAUUUAUUUAAAAAAAAAUAAAAAAUCCGUUUACGUCAGGCGUCCGCCGUAUGAGUCGAGACCCGAGCUGUUACUAUAGAAACGGUGACGAAUUAGACAGCGCACGUUAAUAUAAUAAACCUGCGCUACUGUCGCUACUUCUGACCAAUCAGAAUCCAUGAUGUUCGAAGCAGUAAUUUAUGCAAAUUCAGCACGCUUAGUCACUGUUUAUUCACUGACAAGUGUGUUCAUGUUGUUUUGUUCUACCUCAAUCAGUUCCACCAGAUCCAGCAGAAAGAGAAAAAAAAAGAGAACACUUUUCUCCCUCUACACUUCCUUAUAAGAUGAAUGCCAGAACACAGAAUGGAAAAACCAAGAGGGGGAAAAAAAAAACGUGAUAGUGACUCAACAUCUCCUGGCAAAAAUAGUUUUUCGUUUUCAGCCGCUGAGUUUAUUUAACUUAUUUUUUUUCCUCACAUGGUCCUUGGAACAGAUUGUUUUCUGGAAGAGGACGGCAGAAGGACUGGACGUUUUGUAGAGGACCGGAGUGUGUCAAUGUGGAG